AGUCCUACGGGGCGCAGCAGUGAGGAAUAUUGGUCAAUGGGCGAGAGCCUGAACCAGCCAAGUCGCGUGAAGGAUGACGGCCCUAUGGGUUGUAAACUUCUUUUGUCAGGGAGCAAUUGGGUCCACGCGUGGGCUUAGCGAGAGUACCUGAAGAAAAAGCAUCGGCUAACUCCGUGCCAGCAGCCGCGGUAAUACGGAGGAUGCGAGCGUUAUCCGGAUUUAUUGGGUUUAAAGGGUGCGUAGGCGGAAUAUCAAGUCAGCGGUAAAAAUUCGGGGCUCAACCCCAUCGUGCCGUUGAAACUGAU
rnacentral:rRNA from 1 species